rnacentral:rRNA from 1 species
GACGAACGCUGGCGGCGUGCUUAACACAUGCAAGUCGAACGGAAAGGCCCUGCUUUUGUGGGGUGCUCGAGUGGCGAACGGGGGAGUAACACGUGAGUAACCUGCCCUUGACUUUGGGAUAACUUCAGGAAACUGGGGCUAAUACCGGAUAGGAGCUCCUGCUGCAUGGUGGGGGUUGGAAAGUUUCGGCGGUUGGGGAUGGACUCGCGGCUUAUCAGCUUGUUGGUGGGGUAGUGGCUUACCAAGGCUUUGCCGGGUAGGCGGCCUGAGAGGGUGACCGGCCACAUUGGGACUGGGAUACGGCCCAGACUCCUACGGGAGGCAGCGGUGGAGAAUAUUGCACAAUGGGCGGAGGCCUGAUGCAGCAACGCCGCGUGCGGGAUGACGGCCUUCGGGUUGUAAACCGCUUUCGCCUGUGACGAAGCGUGAGUGACGGUAAUGGGUAAAGAAGCACCGGCUAACUACGUG